AUGCUUUCAUCCUUAUCAUAAACCCAUGUCUCUGAAAUGCUGCUUCCCUACACAGAAUUUCACAGACCAAGUUCUUCUACAUCUGAACAUGGAGUUGUAACUCUGGUCAUCAAAAUUUAGUGAAGCAUU